AAGGUAGAUAGGUUCGAGGUGGAAGUGUGGCGACAUACGGAGCUGACGAAUACUAAUCGAUCGAGGACUUAACCAC
rnacentral:rRNA from 1 species